rnacentral:rRNA from 1 species
CACGUAGGGCGCAAGCGUUGUCCGGAAUUAUUGGGCGUAAAGAGCUCGUAGGCGGUCUGUUACGUCUGCUGUGAAAACCCGGGGCUUAACCCUGGGCUUGCAGUGGAUACGGGCAGACUAGAGGCAGGUAGGGGAGAAUGGAAUUCCCGGUGUAGCGGUGAAAUGCGCAGAUAUCGGGAGGAACACCGGUGGCGAAGGCGGCUUUCUGGACAAAUACCGACGCUGAGGCACGAAAGCUAGGGGAGCAAACAGG